rnacentral:rRNA from 1 species
GAUGAACGCUAGCGGCAGGCUUAAUACAUGCAAGUCGAGGGGCAGCGCAGUGUAGCAAUACAUGGGCGGCGACCGGCAAACGGGUGCGGAACACGUACACAACCUUCCUACAAGUGGGGAAUAGCCCAGAGAAAUUUGGAUUAAUACCCCGUAACAUAGCGAUGUGGCAUCACAUUGCUAUUAUAGCUUCGGCGCUUGUUGAUGGGUGUGCGGCUGAUUAGAUAGUUGGCGGGGUAACGGCCCACCAAGUCUACGAUCAGUAGCUGAUGUGAGAGCAUGAUCAGCCACACGGGCACUGAGACACGGGCCCGACUCCUACGGGAGGCAGCAGUAAGGAAUGUUGGACAAUGGACGCAAGUCUGAUCCAGCCAUGCCGCGUGAAGGAUUAAGGUCCUCUGGAUUGUAAACUUCUUUUAUAAGGGACGAAAAAAGGUCUUUCUAGAUCGUCUGACGGUACCUUAUGAAUAAGCACCGGCUAACUCCGUGCCAGCCGCCGCCGUAAGAC